GUCCCACCGCCAUCUUUGCGGUGGGUUCUGCUGAAGCCGAACGAUCCUGCAUAUUGUGUUUUUUGUUGUUGUUGUUUUAAGCCCUGGGCUUUCCAGGCUGAACUUUCUCACUACCAUUACACUGAAAAAGAGCCCUUGAAAGUUUUGCUCGGAUCUUGCACAUUCUUUUGGAAGUCUUACUGUGGAAAUUGUCCGUGUUUUCAGCUUCCACAUCCCUUUCUCCUGGGAGAUUUCUUUUCCGUUUUUUUUACUUUGUCUCUUUUCUUUCCUCCGCAACUGCUUUGUUGUUGUUGUUGUUGUUUCUUGUAAACCACUUCUCAAAAGUGAACUAGUUGCCGUUUAAUAGAAGUUUGGAUGAACUGCCCCCAAAAUAAAGGAAAUCCGAACAGUCAUGGAAGUUGACUCCAAUUGGAGGGAUGGCUCUGAUCAAUUACUCUUUCCACAGUAAGUUAUUAGCUCAGGAUUGAUUAGAGGAACUUUUUGUAAAUCAAUAUUGUACCUGACAUGCCUAAAGUUUGGAUACACUGAGCAUACGCAUCUCCAAGAAAGUUUUCUGAGUUAUAAUCUUUUUCUUUGACCAACAAACAAAAGAAAAGCAUAUAAUUGAUUUUCAUGCUUAAGAUACUGGUGUAGUUUUACACGAUAAUUCCCCACUACACCCCCUUGUCUUAAACUGAAAGAAAGGUAUGCCUAUACAUACAUUUUACUUACAGAAGAUGAUACAUGUUGACCUUUGCCAUUCUGAAAAGCAUCCCCCCCCCAACCUCCUACCUUAACCUGUUUUUCAGGAAAUCCAGUUUUUGUUGGGGAAUGUUGACUCACUACAGUGCUAAAAGAGGAUGUACACUUUUUUGAGCAUUUUUAUACAUAUGAAAUUGAAGUUAUGGUGCUUAUCAAUAACAUGAACAUGCAUGAACGAACCUAGGACUAGAACACUACCAAUAUGAUUGCGUUUAUCAUUUUUCUUCCCAUAAAUCUGCUAUGGUGAUCUAUGAUCAGUGAUAAGUUGAAAUCACUGUUGUAAUUGUUUUGAGGCACCACAAACCACACCCAUAGAAGACAGCAAUCAAUCAAUAAAUGUGUAUGUUCUGACUGCCCCACUGACAGGCUACUCUGCCAUCUCUCUCCCUCUCCUGGGGCCUAUCUGUUCCCUUAAACACAAUAAUAUUGAAAUUAGGCC
rnacentral:lncRNA from 1 species